AGUGAAAUUGCUGAUUCAUAUGGUAACUCUGUUAAACUCUUUGAGAAACUGUCAGGCUGUUUUCCAAAGUGGCUGUCCCAUUUUAUAGUCCCACCAACAAU
rnacentral:pre_miRNA from 1 species